rnacentral:rRNA from 1 species
AAGAGCGACGGGCGAUGUGUACAUAUUUUAGAGCUACAAUCAUAUAACAUAUUUAUAUCAUAUUACUGUCAAAUCCAUUUUCAUAAAUAACUUUAAUUAAAUAAUCCAUAAAUAUAUUUAUUGUAACUCAUUUAUUCUUAUCUAUAAACUACACCUUGACUUGAUUUUAUUUUUAAAAAAAAUCAUGAACAUUUUAAUUCUUUAAAAAUAUUCAACUACAGCGAUAUACAAAUUAAUAAAAUAAGUAAUAUAAAUCGUGGAAUAUCAAUUACAAAACAAGUUCCUCUGAAUAGACUAAAAUACCGCCAAAUCCUUUAAUUUUCAUGAACAUAACAAUUACUAAUUAACUUAUUAAUUUACAUUUAUAAUAAUAGGGUCUCUAAUCCUAGUUU